rnacentral:rRNA from 1 species
UACGGAAGGCAGCAGUAGGGAAUCUUCCGCAAUGGACGAAAGUCUGACGGAGCAACGCCGCGUGAACGAUGAAGGCUUUCGGGUCCGUAAGUUCUGUUGUUAGGGAGACAAGUACCGGAGUAACUGCCGGUACCUUGACGGUACCUAACCAGAAGCCACGGCUAACUACGUGCCAGCAGCCGCGGUAAUACGUAGGUGGCAAGCGUUGUCCGGAAUUAUUGGGCGUAAAGCGCGCGCAGGCGGUCCUUUAAGUCUGAUGUGAAAGCCCACGGCUCAACCGUGGAGGGUCAUUGGGAAACUGGGGGACUUGAGUGCAGAAGAGGAGAGUGGAAUUCCACGUGUAGCGGUGAAAUGCGUAGAGAUGUGGAGGAACACCAGUGGCGAAGGCGACUCUCUGGUCUGUAACUGACGCUGAGGCGCGAAAGCGUGGGGAGCGAACAGGGAUUAGAUACC